ACAAAAUAAGACAAGUAACUUGCACAAUGCUAAAUGCAAUGUACACUGCAUGUGGCACUGGUCAUAUAAUUGUCUCGGCACUUAUAGUCAACAAACAACGGUUGAUAGACCUUGUACGAAGCUUUCGCCAAAAUAUUUUGGCCCAUACACUGCAAUUACUAGAAGGGUCGAGAGUCCACCUUUCAUUUCAUGUUUCUCAACUAAAGAAACAUAUUGGAGCGACUCUUACUCAGCCGCAACUUUCUAUUUUAGCUGCAGAUGGGAGCUUUGCUAAGGAACCAGAGAAAAUCUUAGUUCGAAUAACGACCAAAUGUGGUAACCGGGCAGUGACUGAAGUGUUGGUGCAAUGGACAAACACUUUCCCUGAAGAUGAUACUUGGGAGUUCUUAUAUAAGUUGCAGAAGUAUCCAAAUUUUAAUCCUUGAGGACAAGGAUUCACUUCUGUAGGCAAGUAUUUCUGCAUGGGAAAAUCAAUGAGCCAAAUUUUUACUGAAUAUUUAGUUUAAUUUUGUUGGGUUAGUAUUUAAGCCUGUAGCUAGCUAGUCCAGAUUCUAGCGAGUCUUUUAAUAAUUUUACUUCUUUACUUAGGCUUAUUGUUGGAAAAUGCAGUUAGUUUGUUACAGAUGAAAAAGUGUGACCGAGAAUAUAGGGAAAUGUUGCGGAUGUCACCUGUAUCAAGAUGGAGCCUCAACUACCGCCUUAAAGACUUAAUUGACAUAGUUAUACAAAAGAAUGUGGUAACAAAAUUCGCCCUCGAAUGUGGAAAAGAUACGAUGGAUGAGCUUUCGCUGACAACGUAUUUCAAUGAAAAAAAAAAGAAAAAGAAAAACACAACUGGGGGCAUGGAAGAAUUUAAUUAACAGUCGUCAACAGAGGAGGAUUUGAGCGUGAUGAUACUGCUGCGGGGGAAUACUGAGAUUAAGGGCCUACAUGGGGAGUUGGCUUACAUUAGGGCCUGAUUCCUCAAGUGGGCGGAGUCGUCAAGUCCAUUCAUUACAUGUUAUGCCCCCGUGGUAAUAAAAUAAUGGACGUCCCAUCACUAUAUCUAUAUUACCAUAUAAAAAUGAAAUGUUUUUUAUUUUAUUUUUUUUAAAGAUUUUAUGAGGCAUUGGUUUAAUUGGUUAACUUGAGGUUUUGAGAUCUUUGAGGCAUCAAGUUUGAGUCUCGCUAAAUAUAAAAUGAGUGAGUUUUUAGUUAAUUUUUCAGUUUUGAGUCUUAAUUUUUAUACAUUAAUUUUUUAUUUAAUUUAAUAUUUUAAAUUUUGUAAUGUCAUUAAUUAAUUUAAA